rnacentral:pre_miRNA from 1 species
UUACUAUUUUCUCCGUUCAACGAAAAUGUCUUAAGUUUAUCAAAAUUUGGAUGUAUCUAAAUAUGACUUAGUGUAUAGAAACAUUCAAAUUUAGUCAAAAUUGAGACAUUUUUUGUUGAACGGAGGAACUAUGAA